UGGGGAAUAUUGCACAAUGGGCGCAAGCCUGAUGCAGCCAUGCCGCGUGUAUGAAGAAGGCCUUCGGGUUGUAAAGUACUUUCAGCGAGGAGGAAGGCGUUGUGGUUAAUAACCGCAGCGAUUGACGUUACUCGCAGAAGAAGCACCGGCUAACUCCGUGCCAGCAGCCGCGGUAAUACGGAGGGCGCACGCGUUAAUAGGAAUUACUGGGUGUAAAGCGCACGCAGGCGGUCUGUCAAGUCGGAUGUGAAAUCCCCGGGCUCAACCUGGGAACUGCAUCCGAAACUGGCAGGCUAGAGUCUUGUAGAGGGGGGUAGAAUUCCAGGUGUAGCGGUGAAAUGCGUAGAGAUCUGGAGGAAUACCGGUGGCGAAGGCGGCCCCCUGGACAAAGACUGACGCUCAGGUGCGAAAGCGUGGGGAGCAAACA
rnacentral:rRNA from 1 species